UGGCUCAGUUGGUAGAGCAUGGUGUUUGCAAAGCCAGGGUUGUGGGUUCAAUUCCCAC
rnacentral:tRNA from 1 species